rnacentral:rRNA from 1 species
UACAAGGUGCUGCAGUGGUUGUCGUCAGCUCGUGCCGUGAGGUGUCGGGUUAAGUCCAUAACGAGCGCAACCCCUAUCAUUAGUUGCCAUCAGGUCAAGCUGGGGACUCUAAUGAGACUGCCAUCGUAAGAUGUGAGGAAGGUGGGGAUGACGUCAAAUCAGCACGGCCCUUACGUCCGGGGCGACACACGUGUUACAAUGGGUGGUACAAAGGGCAGCUACCUGGCGACAGGAUGCUAAUCUCGAAAACCGCUCUCAGUUCGGAUCGGAGUCUGCAACUCGACUCCGUGAAGCUGGAUUCGCUAGUAAUCGCGACAUACAGCCACGGCGCGGUGAAUACGUUCCCGGGCCUU